GGGCCCGCACAAGCGGUGGAACAUGUGGUUUAAUUCGACGCAACGCGCAAAACCUUACCUGGAUUUGACAUCCCGGGCUCACCUCAGAGAUGAGGUUUUCUCUUCGGAGACCCGGUGACAGGUGCUGCAUGGCUGUCGUCAGCUCGUGUCGUGAGAUGUUGGGUUAAGUCCCGCAACGAGCGCAACCCUUGUCCCUAGUUGCCAGCAUUGAGUUGGGCACUCUAGGGAGACUGCCGGUGAUAAGCCGGAGGAAGGUGGGGAUGACGUCAAGUCCUCAUGGCCUUUAUGUCCAGGGCUACACACGUGUUACAAUGGGGGUGACAAAGAGUGGCCAAGCUGGCGAAGCUGCGCA
rnacentral:rRNA from 1 species